GGGUUGUGAGGUUAAGCGACUAAGCGUACACGGUGGAUGCCCUGGCAGUCAGAGGCGAUGAAGGACGUGCUAAUCUGCGAUAAGCGUCGGUAAGGUGAUAUGAACCGUUAUAACCGGCGAUUUCCGAAUGGGGAAACCCAGUGUGUUUCGACACACUAUCAUUAACUGAAUCCAUAGGUUAAUGAGGCGAACCGGGGGAACUGAAACAUCUAAGUACCCCGAGGAAAAGAAAUCAACCGAGAUUCCCCCAGUAGCGGCGAGCGAACGGGGAGCAGCCCAGAGCCUGAAUCAGUGUGUGUGUUAGUGGAAGCGUCUGGAAAGGCGCGCGAUACAGGGUGACAGCCCCGUACACAAAAAUGCACAUGCUGUGAGCUCGAUGAGUAGGGCGGGACACGUGGUAUCCUGUCUGAAUAUGGGGGGACCAUCCUCCAAGGCUAAAUACUCCUGACUGACCGAUAGUGAACCAGUACCGUGAGGGAAAGGCGAAAAGAACCCCGGCGAGGGGAGUGAAAAAGAACCUGAAACCGUGUACGUACAAGCAGUGGGAGCACGCUUAGGCGUGUGACUGCGUACCUUUUGUAUAAUGGGUCAGCGACUUAUAUUCUGUAGCAAGGUUAACCGAAUAGGGGAGCCGAAGGGAAACCGAGUCUUAACUGGGCGUUAAGUUGCAGGGUAUAGACCCGAAACCCGGUGAUCUAGCCAUGGGCAGGUUGAAGGUUGGGUAACACUAACUGGAGGACCGAACCGACUAAUGUUGAAAAAUUAGCGGAUGACUUGUGGCUGGGGGUGAAAGGCCAAUCAAACCGGGAGAUAGCUGGUUCUCCCCGAAAGCUAUUUAGGUAGCGCCUCGUGAAUUCAUCUCCGGGGGUAGAGCACUGUUUCGGCAAGGGGGUCAUCCCGACUUACCAACCCGAUGCAAACUGCGAAUACCGGAGAAUGUUAUCACGGGAGACACACGGCGGGUGCUAACGUCCGUCGUGAAGAGGGAAACAACCCAGACCGCCAGCUAAGGUCCCAAAGUCAUGGUUAAGUGGGAAACGAUGUGGGAAGGCCCAGACAGCCAGGAUGUUGGCUUAGAAGCAGCCAUCAUUUAAAGAAAGCGUAAUAGCUCACUGGUCGAGUCGGCCUGCGCGGAAGAUGUAACGGGGCUAAACCAUGCACCGAAGCUGCGGCAGCGACGCUUAUGCGUUGUUGGGUAGGGGAGCGUUCUGUAAGCCUGUGAAGGUGUGCUGUGAGGCAUGCUGGAGGUAUCAGAAGUGCGAAUGCUGACAUAAGUAACGAUAAAGCGGGUGAAAAGCCCGCUCGCCGGAAGACCAAGGGUUCCUGUCCAACGUUAAUCGGGGCAGGGUGAGUCGACCCCUAAGGCGAGGCCGAAAGGCGUAGUCGAUGGGAAACAGGUUAAUAUUCCUGUACUUGGUGUUACUGCGAAGGGGGGACGGAGAAGGCUAUGUUGGCCGGGCGACGGUUGUCCCGGUUUAAGCGUGUAGGCUGGUUUUCCAGGCAAAUCCGGAAAAUCAAGGCUGAGGCGUGAUGACGAGGCACUACGGUGCUGAAGCAACAAAUGCCCUGCUUCCAGGAAAAGCCUCUAAGCAUCAGGUAACAUCAAAUCGUACCCCAAACCGACACAGGUGGUCAGGUAGAGAAUACCAAGGCGCUUGAGAGAACUCGGGUGAAGGAACUAGGCAAAAUGGUGCCGUAACUUCGGGAGAAGGCACGCUGAUAUGUAGGUGAAGCGACUUGCUCGUGGAGCUGAAAUCAGUCGAAGAUACCAGCUGGCUGCAACUGUUUAUUAAAAACACAGCACUGUGCAAACACGAAAGUGGACGUAUACGGUGUGACGCCUGCCCGGUGCCGGAAGGUUAAUUGAUGGGGUUAGCGCAAGCGAAGCUCUUGAUCGAAGCCCCGGUAAACGGCGGCCGUAACUAUAACGGUCCUAAGGUAGCGAAAUUCCUUGUCGGGUAAGUUCCGACCUGCACGAAUGGCGUAAUGAUGGCCAGGCUGUCUCCACCCGAGACUCAGUGAAAUUGAACUCGCUGUGAAGAUGCAGUGUACCCGCGGCAAGACGGAAAGACCCCGUGAACCUUUACUAUAGCUUGACACUGAACAUUGAGCCUUGAUGUGUAGGAUAGGUGGGAGGCUUUGAAGUGUGGACGCCAGUCUGCAUGGAGCCGACCUUGAAAUACCACCCUUUAAUGUUUGAUGUUCUAACGUUGACCCGUAAUCCGGGUUGCGGACAGUGUCUGGUGGGUAGUUUGACUGGGGCGGUCUCCUCCUAAAGAGUAACGGAGGAGCACGAAGGUUGGCUAAUCCUGGUCGGACAUCAGGAGGUUAGUGCAAUGGCAUAAGCCAGCUUGACUGCGAGCGUGACGGCGCGAGCAGGUGCGAAAGCAGGUCAUAGUGAUCCGGUGGUUCUGAAUGGAAGGGCCAUCGCUCAACGGAUAAAAGGUACUCCGGGGAUAACAGGCUGAUACCGCCCAAGAGUUCAUAUCGACGGCGGUGUUUGGCACCUCGAUGUCGGCUCAUCACAUCCUGGGGCUGAAGUAGGUCCCAAGGGUAUGGCUGUUCGCCAUUUAAAGUGGUACGCGAGCUGGGUUUAGAACGUCGUGAGACAGUUCGGUCCCUAUCUGCCGUGGGCGCUGGAGAACUGAGGGGGGCUGCUCCUAGUACGAGAGGACCGGAGUGGACGCAUCACUGGUGUUCGGGUUGUCAUGCCAAUGGCACUGCCCGGUAGCUAAAUGCGGAAGAGAUAAGUGCUGAAAGCAUCUAAGCACGAAACUUGCCCCGAGAUGAGUUCUCCCUGACUCCUUGAGAGUCCUGAAGGAACGUUGAAGACGACGACGUUGAUAGGCCGGGUGUGUAAGCGCAGCGAUGCGUUGAGCUAACCGGUACUAAUGAACCGUGAGGCUUAACCUUACAACGCCGAAGCUGUU
rnacentral:rRNA from 1 species